AAAAGGGUGGGAAUGGCUUAGGCAAGAGAUGAUCAGAGGCCCAUCUACAGCAAGAUGGGGUGAUGGGGAAUAUAGUUUAUGGUAGAGCAUUCGGCAGCAUGCUCAGGGUGCCUUAGGGACACAGAAGAGGCUAUACACUUGUAGCCUGGAAGCUAAGCAGCCACCAGACCAUCUAUGCCUCCCUAAAUUUGGGCCAGGCCAGAAAUGCCAGUCCUCUAUUUAUAUUUUUAUUUUAUUAAAUUUUUAAGUGAAAAGCAGAAAAAGAUUUAUUUAACAUGGUCCCAUUGAGGAAAAAAAAAACAAAGAGGGUUCAAGUACUAUGUUGAACAGGAGAGAAUGGACAUCCUUCUUCUUCCUGAUUUUAGUAAGUGAGACAAAAGACCCAUUCCAUUUUGGAGUGCUGAUAUGUGGUUCAAAUUUCAGUAGAGGGCAAGAGCUAGUCUCAUCUUUAAAAGAGAAAAAGCCUUUGGUCCUGGAGUGGUCCCCAAUCCAGGGACCUCCAGCUAGAUGACAUUGCCUGAUCACCUCUGGGGACUGUCUGGGUCCUGUUCGAUCACUGACAAUGAGCACUGAGAAGUAAGGGAGUAGCCUGGAUGCUGAAGAAACCUGGACCACAAACCAAGCUCCUGGAUAACAGAGUCCAUCAGGGUGGGACACAAUCCAUCAUAUCAGACAAAUCUGGCAGCUGACCCUGCAACAAAAGCCAGGGCUUUUCAUUUGGAGCAGGAUGACACUGUGACUCCAGCUGCAGGAAAAACGCCUGGAGGUUUUCAGAUACUGUAACCUCAGCUGCCCCAGCCCGAUUUCUCCCCUGAUCUCUGUGCAUUGAUUCCACUGGAGCUUCCACCUAGAUAGCCCAGACUCAGGGCCCAGUCCUGGCUUCCAGCCCCUCAAUCCUGCCCCUGUGCAAGAGGAAACUUUCUCCUCAUCCCAUAUAUCAGGAUGGCAACAGCACAGCUGGAAUUCAAGCCCUGUGGCUCAUCACUUUCCCCUGAUGCUGGCAAUGACAUAAAAAUGUGCUGAAGCCUGGGGUUCACCUAACACAGUUAAGCAGACAUCUCCAGAGGAGGUUGGGGAGUUGAAGAGCUCCCUCAGCUUCUAACACAGGACCAGAGGCCCCGAUGAUGCCACAGAUGGCAUUUGUUUCUGGAAUUCAGCUCUCAGGUCCAUACUACCAGAGAACAUCACCCAGCUACAAACACACCCAGCUCCUUCCUGCCUGGGGUCCAGGCAGUGCCCACAUAUUUGAGUAGGGCAGUUCCAGCAAGACUUAGCACCUGAGGGGUACACCUAGCCAGCACCUUCAGGGCCUAUCAUCUAUAUGACCCAGCACCUGCAAGGCUCAGCAUCUGCAAGACCCAGCACCUGGAAGGCUCAGCAUCUGCAAGACUCAGUAUCUGCAAGGCUCAGCACCUGCAAGGCUAGGCACCUGCAUGACCGUGAACCUUCUAUAUCUACAUUGGUGUGACCCAGUACCGACAAGACUCAGCUCUUGAAGGGACCAUCACCUACAGGGCACACCCAACCAGCAUCUGCCCAUGACUCAGGCAAUAGUCCCACUGUGGCUAACUGCUUUCUUCCCAGCACUUCCCUGGGGCUACUCAACCAUCCCCCACAUCUUUCGGCUCACUGCUAGGCUGGGUUAUUUCCUGGCACAGACAGGGGAGCCUCAGGAUGCACAGCUCUCCCUGUGGAAGCUACAACUAGGGUCCAAGUGGGUUAUGGACAUGGUGGUCCUCACAGAAUCAAAUGCCAUUAGAGUCCUCAACCACUGGAGUCCAGGACCCCUGACACUUGCUGUCAUGUUGGAGUCUGUUUUUCAGGCAGACAUAGAGCAGAUGCUGGGGUACAGGACUGAGUGCUGGGUUACCAGCCAGUGCCGGGAGCUGAAGGAAGAUUGAGCCCUGACCAUAUUCUGUGUGGUUCCCACAGCCCAGAAAAACCAAAGAGGCCCUUUCAGUGGCCCCAAACAACCCCACCCUCAAGCAAGAAGUCAAACACAAAAAUCAUUCCCCACACAGAGCCAAAUUCUUACUGAAGUAUCUGGCAGCGAAAGUUCUUCUUUUGCUGGAAGCCGUCGGCAGCAUCUCUAAGCUGGCAAUCUGCAGAUUUCUCCUGUAUCUUCUCUCGAAGGCAGCAGCCACAUCCUCAGGCAGACAAGCUAAUUCCUGGUUUCAGUAGCAGGCGAUCAGCAUCUAUAGUAAAGAAAUAUAUUUAGAAUGCCCUUUCCAGGCGUUUGCCUGGAUUUCCAACAUGAAGCUGCUGCGAGGGACAUGUAUCUCUGUGGAGCCAGUACCUUGGGGAUCUGAGAGCAAACUUGGGGAAGUCACUGUAUCAGUUCCUCAAAUCUGUAAAAUGGGACAAGCAGUGACAACUGCCUCUCAGAGGGAACAGAUGCCAGAUGCGUCAGCAGAAGCAAGGGCUUUGUGAGCCAAGAGCUCUAGCUGCUAGAUUUGAUUUUUACAAGGAGCCAUGGACCUAAGGGAACACAUGUGGGGUGACUUCUGGUUCACACACUGGGGCUUAUGAUCUAGGUGCAGGGGUAGAGCCCAGGAAAGUCAUGUCAUAUCCUCAAGGUGCCACUUUUCUCCUCUACUUUGGAAAUUUGCCCAUCAUUACAACAUCAUUUACAAUUGUGGAAAACUGAUAAAAAACAAACAAACAAACAAGCAAACUUGGUUAUAACUAGCCAAGUGGCUUUUCUGCAGCCAUCCACAUCACUCACACAGCAGCCCCAAGUGACCUAAAGCAAAGCUGGGAUCUGAGGUGACAGGCACAGUGUCACCUGUCUUAGUAGAUCUGCUGUAUCCAGAUGGGAGGACAAGCCCAGCGUGUUCUCCUACUCGCCUUGUCUCUACUCUGCUGGCCUCUACAAGCUGAGCUUGUAGCAGGCCUGAGGUUACAAAGUGAGCCCUGGUGGAUCUUUCCAGCCUGGGCUGUGAGAAGCAGAACUGUGGGGGAGGUAGGGAUGUGGGCUGUCGUCAGUUCAUCUCGAUGCCACAGGCAACGGAAGCCUGGGGCUCUGGACUAGUGGCCAGCAUCCUGUGGGUCUUGCUGUGUCAAAGUGCUUCUGGAUCACAUUUUAGCAUUUGGGCACAGUUCCUGUCACUGACCAGUCUCCAGGGGAAAGCACCUGGAAUGGAGACAUAGACUGUCAUUGGGAUUGCUGAGAGGAGGAAACCGUGGGUAAGCACUAAAUCUGCAAGGGCCUAGGCCCAAGAAGAUGCCAGCAUGACCUUGGGCCCAGGAGUACAGACAGCCCAGAGUUCACAGCUGAGCCAGGAGCCUUCAAGGUUAGGAUAGAGACAGUUGGGGCUAGAAAAUUAAGACCAUGGAGCUGGUACUAACCUCAGAGACCCUGAUGUGUCGGGAGUGACAUCUCCCUUCUGUCCUAGAAGCACUCAGGCUUGGAAACAUAGGUGGACUGAAGUGGUGGCGGGGACACUGAUGGUUGGGGCACCCCCAAACCCGUUGUAGAAUUAAAGUUCUGGGUCCAGUCUUUAGUAGGACACAAAGCC